rnacentral:misc_RNA from 1 species
AAGUCGUAACAAGGUUUCCGUAGGUGAACCUGCGGAAGGAUCAUUAGCGUAGUUUUGAGUGUGCUGAAAGGCACUUCAAACAAAACACACACCAUGUGAACCAGGAACAGUGUAAACGAUACGAUUGGAGGCUCUUUCACAAGAGUCGCCAGUCUGUCGUAUUAACCUUUGACAACGUUUGUGAAUGACUAAUAGUUUUACGAAACAACAACCAUACACACAACUUUUAACAAUGGAUCUCUAGGCUCCU